rnacentral:siRNA from 1 species
AUGAAUGGAGGCAGCGGACAAAGC